rnacentral:rRNA from 1 species
AGAGUUUGAUCAUGGCUCAGAGCGAACGCUGGCGGCAGGCUUAACACAUGCAAGUCGAACGGGCACUUCGGUGUCAGUGGCAGACGGGUGAGUAACACGUGGGAACGUACCCUUCGGUUCGGAACAACUCAGGGAAACUUGAGCUAAUACCGGAUACGCCCUUCGGGGGAAAGAUUUAUCGCUGAAGGAUCGGCCCGCGUCUGAUUAGCUAGUUGGUGAGGUAAUGGCUCACCAAGGCGACGAUCAGUAGCUGGUCUGAGAGGAUGAUCAGCCACACUGGGACUGAGACACGGCCCAGACUCCUACGGGAGGCAGCAGUGGGGAAUAUUGGACAAUGGGCGCAAGCCUGAUCCAGCCAUGCCGCGUGUGUGAUGAAGGCCUUAGGGUUGUAAAGCACUUUCGUCCGGGACGAUAAUGACGGUACCGGAAGAAGAAGCCCCGGCUAACUUCGUGCCAGCAGCCGCGGUAAUACGAAGGGGGCUAGCGUUGCUCGGAAUCACUGGGCGUAAAGGGCGCGUAGGCGGCCAUUCAAGUCAGAGGUGAAAGCCCAAGGCUCAACCUUGGAAUUGCCUUUGAUACUGUUUGGCUUGAGACCGGAAGAGGUUAGUGGAACUGCGAGUGUAGAGGUGAAAUUCGUAGAUAUUCGCAAGAACACCAGUGGCGAAGGCGGCUAACUGGUCCGGUUCUGACGCUGAGGCGCGAAAGCGUGGGGAGCAAACAGGAUUAGAUACCCUAGUAGUCC